AGUAAGUGUUAUUUUUUCUUUUCGGCAAAGAGGUGGGGAAAAGAACUUGUUUCCGGUAGAGCUCGGCUUUGACAGCGUUGCGUUCACGCGCUACUUCUUUUGACGGAUUCUUUCGUUUAAGAACAUUUUAUUUUGUCUCGGUCGUUAAAGAGACGGUAGAAAUAACCUAGAGGUGGUAUUCAGACGUUAUUAGAAAGUUUAAGGACGAUAGCCAGACGACUUUGAAGGAGAAGAAGGACCGUGUUUAGUUUUAGAGAGAAGCUUCAUGAACAGGCGUCGAGCAGACAUCGCCCUCUCCCUCCGCCUUUUCUCGAACGUCGAAAUAGGACACUUGACACUUUGGUUGGGCCAACCCAUGCCGACUAAAACGGGUUUCAAGAAUUGGAUAUGGAUAUUGUUGCGCUGCACACGAAUGGCCUCAAUGCUGAAAAACGUUCAGUGACAGCGGGCUGCUGACCGAGUUGGCACAAAGUGGAGGACAUUGGCUGAUAUGUGAUGUGAAGUACAGAGAGGGACAGUCCUGAGAGUGAGGAGGAAGACGAGCUGUGAGGGAGAGGAAGAGGGACAACCAGCGGUGUUGAACAGACCUGUGUGACUACGUACAAAGAUGAUCCACCAGUGCUGCCCAGUUUGAGGACAUUUCCAGUCACAUUAAUGGGGGACAGGAGACGCAGCUUCCAUCAAAGCUGAGUUUCUACCAGAGCCAAAUGUCAUCUACUCCUCACUGAAGUCGUCCACCAGUCCAACCACUGGAAUCCAGCUGCUGCUCUCUAACUGGUCCACACAGCAGCUCAGACCUGACACAUUCACUGUAAACACACUGGUUUAUAUUCUGUUUGUUCUCCUCAUGAAGGAAACCUCACACAACCACUGAGUUCAAAUCACUGAAAGUUCAAAUGGAAAGUUAUUGUUUUCUUUUAUAAAGAAGCAGAAGCAGAAUGGUACCAUAAAGAUUUUAUUUAUUUUUCAUACUUGAGGGAACAAUUCUUCACCAGGCCUUUCAGAAUAAAAGCAUGACCAAGACGUAAUUUAUACAUAAAAAAUAAUAAAUGGUAUGUAACUAAAAUAUAGAUGCAAUCCAUG